AACGAACGCUGGCGGCAUGCCUAACACAUGCAGGUCGAACGAGACCUUCGGGUCUAGUGGCGCGCGGGUGCGUAACGCGUGGGAACCUGCCCUUAGGUUCGGAAUAACUCCCCGAAAGGGGUGCUAAUACCGGAUAAUGUCUUCGGACCAAAGAUUUAUCGCCUUUGGAUGGGCCCGCGUUGGAUUAGCUAGUUGGUAGGGUAAAAGCCUACCAAGGUGACGAUCCAUAGCUGGUCUGAGAGGAUGAUCAGCCACACUGGGACUGAGACACGGCCCAGACUCCUACGGGAGGCAGCAGUGGGGAAUAUUGGACAAUGGGCGAAAGCCUGAUCCAGCAAUGCCGCGUGAGUGAUGAAGGCCUUAGGGUUGUAAAGCUCUUUUACCCGGGAUGAUAAUGACAGUACCGGGAGAAUAAGCUCCGGCUAACUCCGUG
rnacentral:rRNA from 1 species